UACGUACGAGGCGAGCGUUAUCCGGAAUCACUGGGCGUAAAGGGUGCGUAGGCGGGGCUUUAAGUCAGGGGUGAAAUCCUGGAGCUCAACUCCAGAACUGCCUUUGAUACUGAAGAUCUUGAGUUCGGGAGAGGUGAGUGGAACUGCGAGUGUAGAGGUGAAAUUCGUAGAUAUUCGCAAGAACACCAGUGGCGAAGGCGGCUCACUGGCCCGAUACUGACGCUGAGGCACGAAAGCGUGGGGAGCAAACAGG
rnacentral:rRNA from 1 species